CCGUGCCUACGGGGCGCAGCAGUGAGGAAUAUUGGUCAAUGGUCGGGAGACUGAACCAGCCAAGCCGCGUGAGGGAUGAAGGUACAGAGUAUCGUAAACCUCUUUUGUCAGGGAACAAAGGCGGGGACGCGUCCCCGGAUGAGUGUACCUGAGGAAAAAGCAUCGGCUAACUCCGUGCCAGCAGCCGCGGUAAUACGGAGGAUGCGAGCGUCAUCCGGAUUUAUUGGGUUUAAAGGGUGCGCAGGCGGUCCGUUAAGUCAGCGGUCAAAGCCCGGGGCUCAACCCCGGCCCGCCGUUGAAACUGG
rnacentral:rRNA from 1 species